GAUGAACGCUGGCGGUGUGCCUAAUACAUGCAAGUCGAGCGAACAGACGAGGAGCUUACUCCUCUGACGUUAGCGGCGGACGGGUGAGUAACACGUGGAUAACCUACCUAUAAGACUGGGAUAACUUCGGGAAACCGGAGCUAAUACCGGAUAACAUGUUGAACCGCAUGGUUCAACAGUGAAAGACGCUCUUGCUGUCACUUAUAGAUGGAUCCGCGUCGCAUUAGCUAGUUGGUAAGGUAACGGCUUACCAAGGCAACGAUGCGUAGCCGACCUGAGAGGGUGAUCGACCACACUGGAGCUGAGACAAGGUCCAGACUCCGACGGGAGGCAGCAGUAGGGAAUCUUCCGCAAUGGGCGAAAGCCGGACGGAGCAUAGCAGCGUGAGUGACGAAGGUGUUAGGAUCGUAAAACUCUGUUAUUAGGGAAGAAGAAAUGUGUAAGUAACUAUGCACAUCUUGACGGUACCGAAUCAGAAAGCCACGGCUAACUACGUG
rnacentral:rRNA from 1 species